UGGCUUCAGUAACCACCUACGUUGAGUUGA
rnacentral:piRNA from 1 species